UACAGAGGUCCCAAGCGUUGUUCGGAUUCACUGGGCGUAAAGGGUGCGUAGGUGGCAGGGUAAGUUUGAUGUGAAAUCUCCGAGCUCAACUCGGAAACUGCAUUGAAUACUAUCCUGCUUGAGGAUUGGAGGGGAGACUGGAAUUCUCGGUGUAGCAGUGAAAUGCGUAGAUAUCAAGUGGAACACCAGUGGCGAAGGCGAGUCCCUGGACAACUCCUGACACUGAGGCACGAAAGCUAGGGGGAGCAAACAGG
rnacentral:rRNA from 1 species